GUGGGGAAUAUUGGACAAUGGGGGGAACCCUGAUCCAGCCAUGCCGCGUGUGUGAAGAAGGCCUUUUGGUUGUAAAGCACUUUAAGCGAGGAGGAGGCUACCGAGAUUAAUACUCUUGGAUAGUGGACGUUACUCGCAGAAUAAGCACCGGCUAACUCUGUGCCAGCAGCCGCGGUAAUACAGAGGGUGCAAGCGUUAAUCGGAUUUACUGGGCGUAAAGCGCGCGUAGGUGGCCAAUUAAGUCAAUUGUGAAAUCCCCGAGCUUAACUUGGGAAUUGCAUUAGAUACUGGUUGGCUAGAGUAUGGGAGAGGAUGGUAGAAUUCCAGGUGUAGCGGUGAAAUGCGUAGAGAUCUGGAGGAAUACCGAUGGCGAAGGCAGCCAUCUGGCCUAAUACUGACACUGAGGGGCGAAAGCAUGGGGAGCAAACAGGAUUAGAAACCCGAGUAGUCC
rnacentral:rRNA from 1 species